rnacentral:rRNA from 1 species
UACAGAGGGUGCGAGCGUUGUCCGGAAUCACUGGGCGUAAAGCGCACGUAGGCGGCUUUGUAAGUUAGAGGUGAAAGCCCGGGGCUCAACUCCGGAAUUGCCUUUAAGACUGCAUCGCUAGAAUUGUGGAGAGGUAAGUGGAAUUCCGAGUGUAGAGGUGAAAUUCGUAGAUAUUCGGAAGAACACCAGUGGCGAAGGCGACUUACUGGACACAUAUUGACGCUGAGGUGCGAAAGCGUGGGGAGCAAACAGG